rnacentral:rRNA from 1 species
UACAGGAGGGGGCAAGCGUUGUUCGGAAUUACUGGGCGUAAAGGGCGCGUAGGCGGCCUGCUAAGUCGAACGUGAAAUCCCCGGGCUCAACCCGGGAACUGCGUCCGAUACUGGCAGGCUUGAAUCCGGGAGAGGGAUGCGGAAUUCCAGGUGUAGCGGUGAAAUGCGUAGAUAUCUGGAGGAACACCGGUGGCGAAGGCGGCAUCCUGGACCGGCAUUGACGCUGAGGCGCGAAAGCCAGGGGAGCAAAGCGGG